UUGUUAUUAUGUUGUAGGUGCAUUUUCGUCAAAGGAAGAGACGGUGGAAAUUUGCAUCCACAAAUUGGUGAUUUCAUUAAGAGUUCUGAUCUAAGACUUGAAGAAGACUCUCGCUUUCAACUUCCUUUGUUUGUAGAUCCACGACUAUGAUGGUAGGAAAUUCAGAACUAUAACCGAUAGGACCCCUACGUUGAAGGACAUGGACCAAUUAAUGAAGAUCACGAUGUGGCUCCAUGCCGUUGUUCCCCGAGGCUUACCAUGGCAAUGACAGCUUAUUUGUGUUUUUCCACGAGGCACCGUGGCCAUGCCAGCAGUGGC
rnacentral:lncRNA from 1 species